rnacentral:rRNA from 1 species
UACAGAGGUCUCAAGCGUUGUUCGGAUUCAUUGGGCGUAAAGGGUGCGUAGGCGGCGUGGUAAGUCGGGUGUGAAAUCUCGGAGCUUAACUCCGAAACUGCAUUCGAUACUGCCGUGCUUGAGGACUGGAGAGGAGACUGGAAUUUACGGUGUAGCGGUGAAAUGCGUAGAUAUCGUAAGGAAGACCAGUGGCGAAAGCGACUUCCUGGACCAGUACCGACGUUCAGGCACGAAAGCGUGGGGAGCAAACAGG